rnacentral:lncRNA from 1 species
UCGUCUUCAGCAACAAUAACUCUGCCAAGAGGUCACUACUCUAGAGGAGAGAUAUUCUGCCUUAUUGAAGGAUGCCCAAGCCGCAGAGGAUAGAGUCCAGCGGGCUUGUGAGGAGUGCCUACAAGAGUAUAAAUACUCCCCCGAGCUUAAAGAUAAAAUUCACCGGGCCUGCUUGGCACGACUAGAGGAGUACAAGGCCUCUGUAGAGAUGAAGGAGGCUAUAUAAAAGGAGGCCUUUUGAAUGUUCACCUCAGGCUAUAAGCUUGAAGUUGGCUAGGAAUGCUCCCUCUACUCCGUUGGUGGACCUACGAGCUCUAGAAGUGGACUCUAAUAGUGAAGAGAUGCGUUAUAGAGAGGACGACAAUCCUUUGCCCAAAGGUGCUCCUUGCUUGCCUCCCGAACCUGAGAGGGAGGAUAUUGUGGACAAACCUUUAAAUGACUUAAUUAGUUCUGAUUCCCCCUCCCCUGCUGCCUCUGUAACCCAUUCAAAUAAUCAAUAAAGUUUAUAUUUUUCCUUGAUUUAUUCGUGUCUAU